AGUACGGCCGCAAGGUUAAAACUCAAAUGAAUUGACGGGGGCCCGCACAAGCGGUGGGGCAUGUGGUUUAAUUCGAUGCAACGCGAAGAACCUUACCUGGCCUUGACAUCCACGGAAUUCGGCAGAGAUGCCUUAGUGCCUUCGGGAACCGUGAGACAGGUGCUGCAUGGCUGUCGUCAGCUCGUGUUGUGAAAUGUUGGGUUAAGUCCCGCAACGAGCGCAACCCUUAUCCUUUGUUGCCAGCGAUUCGGUCGGGAACUCAAAGGAGACUGCCGGUGAUAAACCGGAGGAAGGUGGGGAUGACGUCAAGUCAUCAUGGCCCUUACGGCCAGGGCUACACACGUGCUACAAUGGCGCAUACAAAGAGAAGCGACCUCGCGAGAGCAAGCGGACCUCAUAAAGUGCGUCGUAGUCCGGAUCGGAGUCUGCAACUCGACUCCGUGAAGUCGGAAUCGCUAGUAAUCGUGGAUCAGAAUGCCACGGUGAAUACGUUCCCGGGCCUUGUACACACCGCCCGUCACACCAUGGGAGUGGGUUGCAAAAGAAGUAGGUAGCUUAACCUUCGGGAGGGCGCUUACCACUUUGUGAUUCAUGACUGGGGUGAAGUCGUAACAAGGUAACCGUA
rnacentral:rRNA from 1 species